UUCUGACAGGGUUCUAGAGUCCUCCCUCCUCCUUCCCAAAAGCCCAGCUUAGGGAAGGAGGUGGGCGGGCUCUAGGACCCUGCCAGA